GCCGGGCACAGUGACGCAUGCCUGUAAUCCCAGCGGCUAGGGAGGCUGAGGCAAGAGGAUCACAAGUUCAAAGCCAGCCUCAGCAAAUAAACGAGGCACUAAGCAACUCAGUGAGACCCUGUCCCUA
rnacentral:sRNA from 1 species